UAACCUUGGAUUAGGGGAAGACAAUGCUAAUAUCACAGCUCAUUUUAGAUGGACUAGGCCUAUUUGGAUAGCUAAUCCUGUCAAGUUUCCAUAGAUUCCAUCUUUUCGAUACUGCUGAUGGCAAGGGAAUUGAAAGAUGAAUAGAACUAUCAGAAGAAAAGAUGAAAUUGCUGCAAAAGAGUGAAUUAUGUUUCUUUAGAUGAAGAUGUUUGAAAUUCAGAUUAGUAUAUAAUCCAAGGUUUGGAUGGCCACUUUAGAUUUCAGAUAUUCCUUUUUGUUUUCUGAGUAAUUCGGAACCAUAGUACUAGGUUUAGCUGGUGUCUUGUAUUGCGUGACUUUUCCUACUAUGGAAGCUGCAUAACAUUUGAUGAAUUAAGCGGUACCUCUAAUAUGCUUCAAGAUGCAUAA